ensembl:lncRNA
AGUAUUACGUGUCAGCCGGGGCUGGUUGGGCCAGGCUCUCAUUAGCUCGGGGCGAGGUGUACAAUACACAAGUUAGAGAUCCGCAGUUAAAUGGGGGUUACAUGGUGAUAAGCACCGUAAUGCGGACCGAAUGUGUGUGUAAGCAUGUCCCCGACACACCGCGUGUGGACGGAGCGCUGGUCCGAGGCUAACGAUAGCCCCGCAGAGAGCUGCUCAUGGGGAAACGCACCCUGCUAACACACUAGCCUGCAGGACAGGACAACACACCACCACCAUACUAGCAGGACCCGACCACACACACGAACAGGUAGAGCCACACACCACCGGGACCCGACAACACACCACCACGUAGACCCUGGACACACCAGCAGGACCCUCGGCGUUACGCGGGCCGCCAUGUCGCUGUGUCUCCGCGGAGCACGUCGAUUGAGCGUCUCACGGGUCUGGAGAACCAAGUGCCACUUAGCCCCGAGAGUUCAGCCCGUCUCACCGAGCCAGGAGAACCCGGACCCACAGGGUCUCACCGGGACACGGAGGAUCCGGACCAGCGGGUCUGUACCCGAUGAUGGAAAACCAUCACAACUUAUUUCAACCUACGACUCCUACGUAGUAGCGAGUGGAGUCAUGGUAGACUAGCCUUCCUAUCUCCGGCACGGAACGGCUGCUCCGGGCUCCCAGCCCUUCACCCCCGCGGUACCGGGGACACCGUGCACGGGGGUCGGUGGUGAUACCGUGUGUACGAUUUAGUGUAGAAAGGUGGAAAUGAGCUGGGUGGAGGAGGGUGAGCCCCUCGCCUCGCUGCUAGAUCGCUAACAAAGAAAAAGGAGGAACCUACCACGUGACGAGGUCGCACUAUCCGAGGGAAUUUCGCGUACAAUCCCCCGCAGUUUAAGUGAAAAAAAGGGAAUAUCGGCAACAAAACAAAGCGUCUUCCGUGGACCGACGGGCCAUGGAUUAAUCCAGACGAUCUGAGCUCCUCGGGUACACCGAGUGGUCGGCGGGCUUCGUUCCGGAAUCGUGCAAUAUGGGCGAAUCACCGAACUACACCUCGUCCCCUCGGCGGUGGACCGACGAUAAGACGAGGCCCGGAGAUAGUGUGGAAAUUAUCAAAUGAUGUGCAAUGUUUGAAAUGAUAUUCUGACGAAUAUUCAAAAAGCCCGAAAGUCGAGCGUAAUCCACACGGUGGUUCACCGCGAGUCUUCUUCUCGUUUUAGGGAGAGACGCUUAGAAAAUGGCGGCUAGCUCCUCUCCCUCGGAUUUGAGUCUGACAAACAUAGAAGUGCUGUGUGUGUGUGUGUGUGUGAGUCUGUAUGUGUGAGAGAGAGCGUGCGUGUGUGAGCGUGUGCGCGGUGCUUCGUGUAGGCGGGAGUCAUUCCACGUUGUCGCCACUAGAGCAAAGGGCCGAGAAGAACAGAAUAAAACCUAAAAGAGGAGACCAGAGGGGGGCAUUGUCUUCAAAGAUGAAUGUGGUUCUGCUUUCAACAACUAAAUCAUAACCAGUAUACAAACAUUCAACCCCAUAUACAUACAAACCCGUAUAAAAUACCACAGCCCAUAGAUUACAUGAACAAUGUUGUUUUAGAUAUGCCAAAUGUACAAAUAAAUAAAGAAGAAUAUUAAUAACACAUUAAACAAUAUCUCUUGAUUAAAGAGUAUUUAUUUUUAACUAUUAAGUUUGCGUUCGAUGUAGUUUGUAGCGCUUAAAAAUGCUCUCUCAUGUUGCACUGUUACAGACAACACCCUCAAGGAAAUGGGCAGAAGGAGGGGUUGAAAGACUGCGCUGCUCAGAGGAACAGGAUCAGCCACCAUUACACCGACACUCUCACGUUACAGCCACCGGCCACUAGGCGGAGCUCUUUCAUAGGCGUGGAUUACCAAGAGUUCCCAGACUGUUGUAUACAAAUACCAGAUACGUUUUAGGUACCAACUUUCUACGAAAGAGGAAUAGCUGACACUCAGUUAUGGGAUAGAGAAAUGAUCUCUAAAAACAACCAUCUCCAAACCAAG